rnacentral:rRNA from 1 species
GAUUAACGCUGGCGGCGUGCCUAAUACAUGCAAGUCGAGCGAACGGACGAGAAGCUUGCUUCUCUGAUGUUAGCGGCGGACGGGUGAGUAACACGUGGAUAACCUACCUAUAAGACUGGGAUAACUUCGGGAAACCGGAGCUAAUACCGGAUAAUAUUUUGAACCGCAUGGUUCAAAAGUGAAAGACGGUCUUGCUGUCACUUAUAGAUGGAUCCGCGCUGCAUUAGCUAGUUGGUAAGGUAACGGCUUACCAAGGCAACGAUGCAUAGCCGACCUGAGAGGGUGAUCGGCCACACUGGAACUGAGACACGGUCCAGACUCCUACGGGAGGCAGCAGUAGGGAAUCUUCCGCAAUGGGCGAAAGCCUGACGGAGCAACGCCGCGUGAGUGAUGAAGGUCUUCGGAUCGUAAAACUCUGUUAUUAGGGAAGAACAUAUGUGUAAGUAACUGUGCACAUCUUGACGGUACCUAAUCAGAGAGCCACGGCUAACUACGUG